AUUGGUACUUUUCUCUCUUUCUCUCGUUUUUCUCUUCGAGUACGAGUGCUCUCUCAACUCAGUGUCUUUGUUCGAGCCUGUCGUGAAUGAGAUCGGGAUACUCGAGUUAGAAGCGCGUUUAUUACGUUGUGUAGACGAUAAAAGCUGAAACGUAUCUAUCUAUCUAUCUAUCUAUCUAUCUAUCUGAUGGUGAUCAUCGAGAGAAACCAGAAAUAACCGAGCAAUCGAAUCCUUUCUCUUUUUCUUUCCUUUUUUUUUUUUUUCUGUCCCCUCCGAUAUUUCUCGUUUUCUUCUACUUCUACUUCUUCUUCUUCAUCUUCAUCGUCAGCAUCAGCGUCAGCGUCGUCGUCUUUGAUUUUGUGAUCCCGAACUCAGCAGGAAGGCUUACGCAAUCCGAAAAUGGCUUUUUCCAAGUGUCAUCUUUAUUUCUUAUGGUAUUAUCUGGUGAUCGCUAUAUUGACCUGUACCACGGAGGAAAGUGCGAUUCGUACGAAACGUUUUCUGUUUCAUCAAGUCGAAGAAACUAUCGAAAAGAUGAAGAAUACUAUAUCGACGAAUAUAAAUCAAAUUUUUAAUAAUCGACGUAUCGACGAUAAUAAUGCAAAUAUAAAGGAAUUAAGUACAACAACUGCCCUACCAAAU